rnacentral:rRNA from 1 species
AAACUCCUACGGGAGGCAGCAGUAGGGAAUUUUCGUCAAUGGGGGGAACCCUGAACGAGCAAUGCCGCGUGAGUGAGGAAGGUCUUCGGAUCGUAAAGCUCUGUUGUAAGAGAAAAACGGCACUCAUAGGGAAUGAUGAGUGAGUGAUGGUAUCUUACCAGAAAGUCACGGCUAACUACGUGCCAGCAGCCGCGGUAAUACGUAGGUGGCGAGCGUUAUCCGGAAUGAUUGGGCGUAAAGGGUGCGUAGGUGGCAGAUCAAGUCUGGAGUAAAAGGUAUGGGCUCAACCCGUACUGGCUCUGGAAACUGAUCAGCUAGAGAACAGAAGAGGACGGCGGAACUCCAUGUGUAGCGGUAAAAUGCGUAGAUAUAUGGAAGAACACCGGUGGCGAAGGCGGCCGUCUGGUCUGGAUUCUGACACUGAAGCACGAAAGCGUGGGGAGCAAAUAGGAUUAGAUACCCUAGUAGUCCACGCCGUAAACGAUGAGAACUAGGUGUUGGGGGAAUAACUCAGUGCCGCAGUUAACGCAGUAAGUUCUCCGCCUGGGGAGUAUGCACGCAAGUGUGAAACUCAAAGGAAUUGACGGGGGCCCGCACAAGCGGUGGAGUAUGUGGUUUAAUUCGAAGCAACGCGAAGAACCUUACCAGGCCUUGACAUCCCUUGCAGAGGUAUAGAGAUAUAUCCGAGGUUAUCAAGGAGACAGGUGGUGCAUGGUUGUCGUCAGCUCGUGUCGUGAGAUGUUGGGUUAAGUCCCGCAACGAGCGCAACCCUUGUGAUAUGUUACUAACAUUGAGUUGAGGACUCAUAUCAGACUGCCGGUGAUAAACCGGAGGAAGGUGGGGAUGACGUCAAAUCAUCAUGCCCCUUAUGGCCUGGGCUACACACGUACUACAAUGGCGUCUACAAAGAGCGGCAAGCCUGUGAAGGCAAGCGAAUCUCAUAAAGGACGUCUCAGUUCGGAUUGAAGUCUGCAACCCGACUUCAUGAAGCUGGAAUCGCUAGUAAUCGCGAAUCAGCAUGUCGCGGUGAAUACGUUCUCGGGCCUUGUACACACCGCCCGUCAAACCAUGGGAGUUGGUAAUGCCCGAAGCCGGUGGCAUAACCCUUCGGGGAGUGAGCCGUCGAAGGCAGGACCGAUGACUGGGGUUAAGUCGUAACAAGGUAUCCCUACGGGAACGUGGGGAUG